rnacentral:rRNA from 1 species
AACAGACGAGGAGCUUGCUCCUCUGACGUUAGCGGCGGACGGGUGAGUAACACGUGGAUAACCUACCUAUAAGACUGGGAUAACUUCGGGAAACCGGAGCUAAUACCGGAUAAUAUAUUGAACCGCAUGGUUCAAUAGUGAAAGACGGUUUUGCUGUCACUUAUAGAUGGAUCCGCGCCGCAUUAGCUAGUUGGUAAGGUAACGGCUUACCAAGGCAACGAUGCGUAGCCGACCUGAGAGGGUGAUCGGCCACACUGGAACUGAGACACGGUCCAGACUCCUACGGGAGGCAGCAGUAGGGAAUCUUCCGCAAUGGGCGAAAGCCUGACGGAGCAACGCCGCGUGAGUGAUGAAGGUCUUCGGAUCGUAAAACUCUGUUAUUAGGGAAGAACAAAUGUGUAAGUAACUAUGCACGUCUUGACGGUACCUAAUCAGAAAGCCACGGCUAACUACGUGCCAGCAGCCGCGGUAAUACGUAGGUGGCAAGCGUUAUCUGGAAUUAUUGGGCGUAAAGCGCGCGUAGGCGGUUUUUUAAGUCUGAUGUGAAAGCCCACGGCUCAACCGUGGAGGGUCAUUGGAAACUGGAAAACUUGAGUGCAGAAGAGGAAAGUGGAAUUCCAUGUGUAGCGGUGAAAUGCGCAGAGAUAUGGAGGAACACCAGUGGCGAAGGCGACUUUCUGGUCUGUAACUGACGCUGAUGUGCGAAAGCGUGGGGAUCAAACAGGAUU